rnacentral:rRNA from 1 species
AUGCAAGAGAAAAAAGGGAGCCCCGCCGCCACCGUCCGCCAUCCCGGCUUCGCCCAGCAGCCUCCUCCGGCAGCAGCGAGGAGGCUUGGAGGAGGAGGGGACUGGGGCGGCGGAUCUGGGGCAACCGACCGAGCCGCCUUGGGAAGGCUGUGCAGCGACAGUUUGACAAGCGUAUCCACAUUCCUUUACCUGACUCGCAAGCAAUGCAGCAUAGGUUUAAGGUACAUCUUUGGGGAUGAACCACAAGGCUUAUCAGAAAGUGAUUUUGAGGUCUUGGGUCAUCAGACAGAUGGAUUUUCUGGUUCCGACAUUGUUGUCGGUGUAACAUCACAUGUGAAAGAUGUGUUGUUUGAGCCCUCGCGCAAGACACAGGAUAUUCUUUCACCCCUGAUCCCAGUGACUGAUGUCAAGAAAGUCCUCGCUGGCAGAGGCCGGCCGUUGGCAAGACAGACCUGGAGGUACACGAGAAGUUCAGGGAUGGGAAGAACAUGUGUGUUUGUUCAUCAUGGGGACAAAGACGCCUUUUUGAAAGGCAAUAUAGAACCGGACCCGGAUGAACUUGACAUGGUGUUUGAUAGUAGUCCUAGCUAUGCGGAGCUCUUGCAACAAGUUAGGAAAGAUUUGAAUUGGAUGGACCCUAGUGAUAUCAUUGAGUUGGAGGGAAGGCAUAAUGUUGGUUUUGGAAUGCACAUCCGUUGGAAGAAAAUGCGUGUCAACUCGGAGCAACGUUGGGUUGCAUACAAGGAGAUGGUGGCCGAAUCACUAGACAAGGCUCUUGAGUUAUUUGCAACGAAGAAGGUUGAUUCAAGUUUGCAUUUGGACUUGAACCGGAACCCCUCCCCUUUGGUUGCUAGUAGCCCCCCACCCUUGAAGCGAGAUGAAAUUGUUGAACCUCUUUUGACCCAAGAAGUGAGGCCAACAUUGAGCCCGUAUACAAACAACCAAGAUGAAUCUUUGCAAGAGGAAAAUGAUGAGUAUGCGGACGAUGACAAUGAAGUUGAUCUCCAUGACAACAAUGUGGGUGAUCUCGACAAAUAUCAUUUGCAAGAGACAAUAGACCAUUCCAUCCCUUUUUCCCGUGCAUAUGCAUCGGAUUCGGAUGACGAUGGUCCCGAUGAACAAGUUGAUGCGGAGGGGUUCACGGUGAAGGAGGCCGAAGCUUUCGAGAAGAACCGGAUUGCUAAAGGUUCUAAGUUCGACAGCUUGUUGGAAUUAAAGAUGUGGCUCGACAACUACUCGGUUACGCAUUAUCGUCCACACAAGGUGGUGAAAUCGGAUGUCAAUGUGCGCUACACGGUUGCAUGUGCAUGUGAAGAUGAAAUAUGUCCGUGGAUUGUGCGUGCAAGACCAUGGAAAGGAGGUCCAACUUGGCAUGUAGUGAGUUGUGUGCCAACUCACUUGUGCCAAGGCAAAAGGGUGGAUGGCAAGAUUGUGUCCAAAGACCACAAACAACUCACAUCUGAGUUCAUCGCUUACAGGCUCUCCAACUCAAUAUCCACACUUCCAACGAUGAGCGUCCAACAUGUCAUUGAUCUUGUGAAAGCCAUCUUUCAUUACAAGGUGAAAUACGGCAAGGCAUGGAAGGCGAAGCAAGCCGCAUUUAAGAUGUUGUAUGGUACAUGGGAGGAAGCAUACAACCGAAUCCCUAGGUUGUUGUUAGCCAUGGCCGCGACAAACCCGGGCAUGGUUCAUGUGGUCGAGCCUCAUGGGCACCAAACAACGGUUCAUGAAGGAAGGAAAGUCAGAGUAUUUGGCCGUGCUUUUUGGGCGUUCGAGCAAUGUGUGAGGGCUUUCGAACAUUGUAGGCCGGUCAUCGCAAUUGAUGGCACGUUCUUGACCGGACAAUACAAGGGCACCUUGUUGGUUGCGAUAGCAAGUGAUGCCAAUAACCGGGUGUUGCCAUUGGCAUUUGCUUUGGUUGAGGUGGAAAACAAUGACAACUGGGAGUGGUUUCUGCAUCUUCUGAGGACGAAGGUGUUACCCGCUCAAAGGGAAAUUUGUGUCAUAUCGGAUCGGAAUCAAGGAAUUCUUAACGCGGUGGAGAUUGACAUUCCCGGGCAUGCUCCGUUGCACCAUCGAUGGUGCAUGAGGCACUUUUGUUCGAACUUCUAUAGGGCAUGUGGCCUUAAGGAGUUGGCCGAUGAUCUUCAAGAUUGUUGUCUCGCUUUCUCCGAUAAGCGCUUCGCCACUUUGUACAACAAAUUGCUCGCACACAAAAAACUUGAUCCCGGGGGUCAAGACUUUCUCAAUAGGCACAUUCAAUACCGGAACAAGUGGGCACGUGCUUUUGAUGAAGAUGGCCGGAGAUACGGUCAAAUGACAAGCAAUAUGGCCGAAUGCUUCAAUAGGGUGCUCAAAGGUGCACGUGGAUUACCCGUGACGGCAAUAGUUCAAUACACAUUUGAUAAGAUGAAUGCGUACUUUGUAAAGUACUCGAUGGAAACCGAUGCACAGAUAGCGGGUGAGAACCCACGGAAGUACAAGUACAAGUUCCCACCCAAAGUUGAUGAAUGGUUGGUAUUUCAAUCACGGAAGGCGGACUCAGAAGAAGCUAUAUUAUAUGACAACGAAGAGUGGAAGUAUGAAGUGAAAGAGCCAGGAGGAACCACAAACGAUGGCCGGCAACAUGGAGGUCGGGCUUUCAAGGUGUCGUUAACACAAUGUAUGGCGGCUUCCCAACCCAACAAACCAACGAUGAAGGAGGAUGGCGAAGAUGAGAUGGCGGGAUGGUGGGAGAAGGCUGCGAAGAAGCUUAGAGAGGAGGAUGCAGCCAAGCUAAAGAAGAAGAAGGAAGAGGAGCUUGAGAAGGAGAGGAAGCGAAAACAGACUGCGGCAAAUGCGAUGCGCGCUAGGGAGCAAGCGUUGAUGAGGAAAGUUGAGGAGGCACAGAAGAAGCGUCAACAGGAUUUUGAAGAAAGAACCAUGAAGCUUUGGGCAAUUGCAGCUGAAAAAGAAGAGAGGGACAAUCAGAUAUUCAUGGAGAGGGUGGUUAAGGAGGCUCACCUUAUAAGAAAAAGGGAGGAGGAAGAGGAAGAAGAGAGGAAGAAGAAGAAGGGAAAGGGGCCUUGCUCUACGCAAUAG